rnacentral:rRNA from 1 species
UACGUAGGGCGCGAGCGUUAUCCGGAAUUAUUGGGCGUAAAGAGCUCGUAGGCGGUUUGUCACGUCUGCUGUGAAAACUGGGGGCUCAACCCCCAGCCUGCAGUGGGUACGGGCAGACCAGAGUGCGGUAGGGGAGAUUGGAAUUCCUGGUGUAGCGGUGGAAUGCGCAGAUAUCAGGAGGAACACCGAUGGCGAAGGCAGAUCUCUGGGCCGUAACUGACGCUGAGGAGCGAAAGCAUGGGGAGCGAACAGG